AAUCAACGCUGGCGGCGUGCCUAACACAUGCAAGUCGAACGAGAAAGCGGGGGCAACCCUGCAAGUAAAGUGGCAGACGGGUGAGUAACACGUGAACAACCUACACUCGAGUGUGGGAUAACCCCGCGAAAGCGGGGCUAAUACCGCAUAACAUCCAUCGGUUGCAUGACUGAUGGAUCAAGGGCGAAAGUCGCUUGAGGAGGGGUUCGCGGCUGAUUAGCUAGUUGGUGAGGUAACGGCCCACCAAGGCAACGAUCAGUAGCCGGCCUGAGAGGGCGAACGGCCACACUGGAACUGAGACACGGUCCAGACUCCUACGGGUGGCAG
rnacentral:rRNA from 1 species